rnacentral:rRNA from 1 species
GGUUUUGGGCUAUCGCCUUGAGUUGAUCAUGGCUCAGGACGAACGCUGGCGGCGCGCUUAACACAUGCAAGUCGAGCGAGAACCAGGGCUUCGGCCCUGGGGAAAGCGGCGAACGGGUGAGUAACACGUGAGUAAUCCACCCUCGGUACCGGGGUAGCCCGGGGAAACCCGGAUUAAUACCGGAUGGCCCAACAGCCUCUCGAGGCGGUUGGAAAAGGUAGCUUCGGCCUCCGACCGAGGACGAGCUCGCGGCGGAUUAGCUUGUUGGUGGGGUAACGGCCCACCAAGGCGACGAUCCGUAGCUGGUCUGGGAGGACGAUCAGCCACACUGGGACUGAGACACGGCCCAGACUCCUACGGGAGGCAGCAGUGGGGAAUCUUGCGCAAUGGGCGAAAGCCUGACGCAGCGACGCCGCGUGCGGGAAGAAGGCCUUCGGGUUGUAAACCGCUUUCAGGAGGGACGAAGCUACUCGGGUUAAUAGCCCAGAGGGUGACGGUACCUCCAGAAGAAGCCCCGGCUAACUACGUGCCAGCAGCCGCGGUAAUACGUAGGGGGCAAGCGUUGUCCGGAUUUAUUGGGCGUAAAGAGCGUGUAGGCGGCCAUACAGGUCCGUUGUGAAAACUCGAGGCUCAACCUCGAGACGUCGAUGGAAACCGUAUGGCUAGAGUCCGGAAGAAGAGAGUGGAAUUCCUGGUGU